rnacentral:rRNA from 1 species
ACAGGGGGCUCGAGCGUUAGUCGGAAUCACUGGGCUUAAAGGGUGCGUAGGCGGCUCGCCAAGUGCUUUGUGAAAUCCCCGAGCUCAACUCGGGAACAGCAGGGCAAACUGGCGGGCUUGAAGCAGGUAGGGGCUGGAAGAACAGUAGGUGGAGCGGUGAAAUGCGUAGAUAUCUACUGGAAUGCCGAUGGGGAAGCCGUCCAGCUGGGCCUGUCUUGACGCUGAGGCACGAAAGCGUGGGGAGCAAACAGGA